UGUAAGCGUAUACCAAAGUUGUUGCAGUUAAAACGCUCGUAGUCGGAAUUUGGCAGUUCCGGAUGUGUGCACGUCGUGUGCGCGCUUUGCGGGAAUUGCUUUUGUGUGUUCGCGUCGGAUGAGGCACUUUCAUUAGUGAACGUCCUUACGCAACCACUCUUUACUGUGAGAAAACCAGAGUGCUCAAAGCAGGCAUUUGCCGUGAAUGUAUUAGCAUGGAAUAAUAGAAUAGGACUCGGUUCUAUUUUGUUGGUUUGUUGGGACUGAGUAAUGAUUAAGAGGGACAGUUGGGGGCAUUUGUAUUCCGGCGCUAGAGGUGAAAUUCUUAGAUUGCCGGAAGACAAACUGCUGCGAAAGCGUCUGCCAAGGAUGUUUUCAUUGA
rnacentral:rRNA from 1 species